rnacentral:rRNA from 1 species
UGGGGAAUAUUGCGCAAUGGGCGAAAGCCUGACGCAGCCAUGCCGCGUGUGUGAAGAAGGCCUUCGGGUUGUAAAGCACUUUCAGAGGGGAGGAAAGGGCGCUGGCUAAUAUCCAGCGCAGUUGACGCUACCCUCAGAAGAAGCACCGGCUAAUUCCGUGCCAGCAGCCGCGGUAAUACGGAAGGUGCGAGCGUUAAUCGGAAUUACUGGGCGUAAAGCGCGCGUAGGCGGCUUGGUAAGUCGGGUGUGAAAGCCCCGGGCUCAACCUGGGAACUGCAUUCGAUACUGCUGGGCUAGAGUACGAGAGAGGGGGGUGGAAUUCCAGGUGUAGCGGUGAAAUGCGUAGAGAUCUGGAGGAACACCAGUGGCGAAGGCGGCCCCCUGGUUCGAUACUGACGCUGAGGUGCGAAAGCGUGGGGAGCAAACAGG